rfam:Ovis aries breed Texel chromosome 3, whole genome shotgun sequence.
UCCCUGAUAGCUCAGUUGGUAAAGAAUCCACCUGCAAUGUGGGAAAUCUGGGUUCGAUCCCUGGGUUGGGAA